AAUUUACGAUGCUUUGUGCCUGUACAGAUGGAACGUCAAAAGGAGCCUCCCACGCCACCGCCACCACCACCUAGGCCAGCAGCUACAACAGAACGGAGUGUCCCAGCAUUUCAGCGCACUGUAGAGGUGGACAACCGUCUGCCAGCUGGACGUGAAGUAUUGCGUGACCCACGAGAAGUUUUGCGAGACCCCAGAGAGCCCCGGGAAACUAGGGAUCCUCGAGAGCCUAAGGACCCUCGCGAGGCUCGGGCCACUCUUUCAGCGCCCCCAGCACGCUCUGAUAGGAGUCUGAUGGCUGAAAGACAGACAAUCAACAGGCGGCCUGCUGUGCCAAUACGUGAGUGGGACCGGGACAAACUGCGUCAGGAGACACCACCUCCACCACCUGCUGAGCGGGCACCAGCCCCAUCUCGAAAUAGGGCCAGUUCUCCGCCAGACAAGCGAGAACGGCGAGACAAGAAAGUGGCAAAGCGCAAAUCGGAAGAGGACACACCUGCCAAAUUGCUGGAUGAUUUGUUCCGUAAAACAAAGGCGAGCCCUUGCAUCUACUGGCUGCCUCUUACUGAGGAACAGAUAGCACGAAAAGAAGAAGAGCGGAAGCAGCGGCGACAGGAGCGGGAGCGCCGACGGCAGCAGCAGCAACUACAAGAAGAGGAAGAGCGUCGUAAACGAGCCCUUGCUCGUGACAUGGCUGCAAAGACAAAGCAGGAGUCUAAGCGCAGUGGCAGCCAUAGCCCUGUGCGGCGGCGUUAAAAAAUCCUAUGCUGCCAGUGGGCUUCAGCAGCCAAUAGCUAGACAGGCGCCACCGGUUGCUCUGGGAGCCCCAUGCGGGAGACAGGCAGGAUCGACUUGCCUGCCCUCAGGAUCGACUUGCCUGCCCUAUCAGCCCGGCACCAGCACGGGCAAGAUAAAUGGGGAGAGGGCCCUUGGUCGGACUGCUUGCGUGCGGGACCCUAGUUAGCUGCCGGCAAAACUUCCCAAGGGUCGAUGGGCCCAGGCAGGAACACGUCGCAGCAUGCACCACAAUGCCUCAAAUUGUCUCCUGAAAAAACAAACAAAAAAAUCCAGCCUCCUCUUUCAUCGUCAUCACCAUUUUGGAACGGAUCUCAGUUGCUGUUGUUGGAGGGUGCUACUUCUGAAAAACUUUGUGUGCUUCAAACCAAGACUGAAUCCAAGACUGGCAGCUGGUGCAACACUGAUGCCUGUGCUGAUAGACUGUGGUGUUGGACUGCAUCAGCUUCACUUGCACACCUUUGGCACAUGAGACUCCGUUGCAUAAGCAUUGUUAAUUUCCAUCUGUCUCUCUCAGUUUCUUUCUGCCAUUUGUCAGCUUGCAAGAAAUGUGGCUAUGUACUCGUAUCUGCAUUCAUUUCCUAGAGCGACUUCAUGGAUGCACUGCAAAAAUGAGUCUAUGAAACUGUAAAGUCCAAGUUCCCAUCGACUGUUUUGUGCUCAUUCAUAGUGAAGUGUAAGGCCAAUAAAAGUUUAAAGCUUCA
rnacentral:misc_RNA from 1 species